UAGUGAGGUAGAGGUGCGAGAUUUAACAGUCCUUGACGGAGCUUGAGAAGCGUCGAUGUCAGGGAGAAGGAAAUGUCGCCGAAGUUGGAUCAUAUUUCUCGGUAUGACCUGCUGGGUCUGCAGUUAAGAGCUGCAGGACUGUCUCAAUAAACGUCCCGGUUUAUUGAGUUGUGCUAUCUCAUUG
rfam:Bacillus marisflavi strain JCM 11544 scaffold3, whole genome shotgun sequence.